UGUAUCAGAUCAGCAGCAGGAUCUUCAAGCAUAGCACACUGCUCCACGUGGGCUGCCUCCUAAACUGGAAGCAGUACAGCCCCAUCUGCAUGGCAACAGAGGUAUGGGAGUGAUCUAACUGGCACUGGACACAGCUACUCUUCUGGAUUAAGGAGGCAAGCUCCACAAAGCAAGACUAUCAUUCUUGAGGACACCACUACCAAACAUGAUGUCCCUGGGACUGUAAGGAGGUGCCCAACCUUCAGGGGACAAACUCCCAGCUUUAAAAGGGAAGGGGGAGCUGCAACUUGGAAGCAUGUCAAGAAUGAUGAAUAUAUCAGGACUGUGUGAGCCUAGCUAUACAGCCACUCUGCAGAGGCUAGCAAGGAAGCCAAAUUACUGUAGUAGUGGUCUGUAUUCUGCAGAUACUGUUCUGCUAUUGACUGGACCAAGACUAUAGAAGAGCCAACAUAAGGAAAAAAGAAGUGACAGCUAACGAGAAUCUGGGCAACCCUGCAUCUGGCGCACAGCCUGCAAUUCAGCACAAGAGGCAACCUCAAAAGAUAAAAAGAAACAGUUUCACUCUGGUUGGUACAGAAACAAGGGGCAUAGGAAAAGGCUGAGAACUCACCUCCACAAAGAGCUCUCCAACACUUUCCCCAUGUCAGUAUGGUAAUACUUGGAAAAAGAAGAAUCUCCCCUGGGAGACCAGCCUCACAGUUGGAGAAACAUCCAUUCUAACUCAGCUGAACUUCAAACAGUUCUACGCAUGUAUGGAGUGUUACUGAAAAUGCCUUUAUGACUACUACAGGACCAUAUACAGCAAAAUGACUUUCCUUCAAAGUUUGAAAGGACAGAAUACAGUGCCCAAGCAUAAACUUGGUUACUUAAGAAAUGCAGCCACACACCUGCAGUGACCCAGGACAGAAGCCAGAGACACUACAGCAUACUUCCCUGCUUGGCUGGAGCAGCAGCUUGGGCCAAGAGCUAGCCCACCCUGCGAGGAGGGGUUUGAAGGGGAAGUGCAAAGCAUCCUGGGAUGCUGCUGGGGGACUGUUAGUUAACUUGAAUCUGGAGGAGA